AUGAUCACUACGGGGAGCUAUAAGCUGAGAGGACGAAAGUCGACCCGCGAACCUGAUCUGGAUCAUACCAGCGGAGGGAUAGGCGAUGAAUAACUU
rnacentral:ncRNA from 2 species